AGGACGAACGCUUGCGGCGUGCCUAAGAAAUGCAAGUCGAACGGGGGCUUCGGCCCUAGUGGCGAACGGUCGCGUAACACGUGGGCAACCUGCCCUGAAGCGGGGGACAACAUUCCGAAAGGAGUGCUAAUACCGCAUGUGGAUCCGAGAGGCAUCUCUCGUAUCUAAAGCCUUCGGGCACUUCAGGAUGGGCCCGCGGCCUAUCAGCUAGUUGGUGGGGUAACGGCCUACCAAGGCUUCGACGGGUAGCUGGUCUGAGAGGACGACCAGCCGGAUUGGGACUGAGAUACGGCCCAGACUCCUACGGGGGGCAGCAAUUAGGAAUCUUGCGCAAUGGGGGAAACCCUGACGCAGCGACGCCGCGUGAAGGAUGAAGUAUCUAGGUAUGUAAACUUCUUUUAUUGAGGAAGAAGAAUGUGACGGUACUCAAUGAAUAAGCCCGGCUAACUACGCGCCAGCAGCCGC
rnacentral:rRNA from 1 species